rnacentral:rRNA from 1 species
GACGAACGCUGGCGGCGUGCUUAACACAUGCAAGUCGAACGGAAAGGCCCUGCUUUUCUGGGGUGCUCGAGUGGCGAACGGGUGAGUAACACGUGAGUAACCUGCCCUUGACUUUGGGAUAACUUCAGGAAACUGGGGCUAAUACCGGAUAGGAGCUCCUGCUGCAUGGUGGGGGUUGGAAAGUUUCGGCGGUUGGGGAUGGACUCGCGGCUUAUCAGCUUGUUGGUGGGGUAGUGGCUUACCAAGGCUUUGACGGGUAGCCGGCCUGAGAGGGUGACCGGCCACAUUGGGACUGAGAUACGGCCCAGACUCCUACGGGAGGCAGCAGUGGGGAAUAUUGCACAAUGGGCGGAAGCCUGAUGCAGCAACGCCGCGUGCGGGAUGACGGCCUUCGGGUUGUAAACCGCUUUCGCCUGUGACGAAGCGUGAGUGACGGUAAUGGGUAAAGAAGCACCGGCUAACUACGUG